GGUGACGCGUGUUGUUGUGGCUCCACGCCCACAAGAUGGCGGCGGCUCGGCGCCGGGGCUGAAGGAGAGAGAGCGGGUGCUGCGGCGGGGCGGCGGCCUGACACUCCCGCCUCUUCCUCCUUGUGGACGCUGAUGGAGACGGCACGGCUUGCGGGAGGGCUCGUGGAGGGGAAAGCGAUCCGCAUCACCGGUUCGGAGCUGGUGGAAAACUACACGGUAUAUAUCAUAGAAGUGAAAGUUGGGAAUCACCAAUGGACAGUUAAACAUCGUUACAGUGAUUUUCAUGAGCUGCAUGAAAAGCUGACUGCAGGAAAAAAGAUAGAUAAAAAUUUGCUUCCACCAAAGAAGAUCAUUGGCAAAAAUUCCAAAUCGUUUGUAGAAAAAAGGCAGAAAGAAUUGGAAGUCUAUUUGCAAACUCUUCUGGCAAAGUUCCCUUAUGCUGCUCCAAAAGUUUUGUCACAUUUUCUGCACUUCGAUCUAUAUGAGAUAAAUGGCAUUACGGCUGCCCUUGCUGAGCAACUGUUUAACAAAGGUGAACAGUUGCUCUUAGCGGGCGAAGCAUUCUGUCUGAGACCACUGCAGUUGUAUGCAAUCACUCAACAACUGAGACUGGCCAGUCCCACCUGUGCCAGUGGAGAUGCAAAGACUGAUCUUGGCCACGUCCUGGACUUUGCUUGUAGACUUAAAUAUUUGAAGAUCACAGGCACCAGAGGAUCUGUGGGUAACAGCAAUAUUCAGGAACAUCUCCUUAAUUUCGAUUUAUCAAUUUUCAAGUCUGUUCAUCAGAUUGAGAUAAGUAAUUGUGAAGCUGAACAAAUUAUUGGGCUUCCUUCCCUGAAGAACACAUUGGCUACAAUGACUGUGGCUUUUUCAACUGCUUCAAUGAAGGAUAUUCUUGUGCCAGAAGCUUCUGAAUUUGAACAUUGGGAGGUAGAAGGGAUGGCAUCUGAGCAUCCAGUUGCUGCUUUUAUCCCAAGAUGGAAUAUACUGACUACACUUGACAUGAGUCAUAAUCAAGUAUCUAACAUUGAUGAAUCUGUGAGACUAAUACCUAAAGUGGAAUUUCUGGAUCUAAGUUACAAUGAAAUAACAGUUAUGGAGAAUUUACAGCAUCUUUAUAAUCUCAUUCAUUUGGAUUUAUCAUUCAACAAGCUUACGUUAUUGCAAGGUGUACAUACUAAACUUGGAAACAUCAAAACCUUGAAUUUGUCAGGAAACCAAUUGGAAAGUCUAACUGGGCUUAACAAACUUUACUCAUUGGUUAACUUGGAUCUCAGCACCAAUAAAGUAUCACAGAUAGAAGAAAUCAAAAACAUUGGGAGCUUGCCGUGUCUGGAGAAGGUCGUUCUAAUUAACAACCCCUUGAGCAUCAUUCCUGAUUACAGAACAAAGGUGCUUGCACAAUUUGGAGAUCGUGCCUCAGAGGUCUGUCUGGACAAUACUGUUACAACGGGAAAAGAACUUGAUACAGUUGAGGUGCUGAAGGCAAUUCGGAAAGCCAAAGAAGCAAAGGAUCGAAUGAAUAGUACAGAUAAAAAAAUCAGUGAGGAAACUCGACUUGCUGCUCAAGGGUCCAAACCCAGCUACUCUUAUGUUGCUUGUCCUCCUUCUCCUCUGCUACACCAUGCUGCCAGCUCCAGCCAAGGUAAUCAUAAAUAAAUACUAAAUCAGCCCUACUCAUCAAUCUACAUCAAAGUGAGAGUUUGACUCCUAUGGCUUCGACAAUUACCCCAGGAGACUCUGAAACAACAAAUCUCAAUAAAAACAAGAGCAAGGUUCCAAACCCAGAGCUAAAAUCUAUGAAGAAACCACUUGAAGAUUCUGACUGCCUGCAAACAAGGCUUGGAUCAGCAAAUGCAAUUACUCGAGCUGAUGUGCUGAAGUCACAACACGAUCCUGAAGUGACUCUUGUGCUGCCUUUUUCGUGUGUGUCAUACAAUACCACCAAUGUUGACUUUGCUGCCCACUUAUCUGGAAUAAUUAAUCAAGCUAUAUUGAAACUACAUUGCACUGAGACCGUACUCGACCGCCAAGGAAAUCUUAUUAAUUAUCCUGUCUGCAGUAAUGAAGCUGGAUAUUUUGAAAUGGGUCCAGAUCAAGGUGAUUGCAUUUUGGGAUGUAGUUCAAACAUUGAUUUUGCCAAUAUUUCUGCAAAUCCAGAAGCUGAGAUCUUGAAGGUACUGUGGACCCUUUGUGUCCAGGUGAACAAGGGAUUAAAGUUGUUUAUAUCUUGCAUUGUGUUGACUGACAGUGCGGUAGCUGUAUUUCAGAUUCCUCACUCUGAACUCCGACGGAAAAUGCAGAAUGUCAUUUCUCAGAUGCAGCUUGUUCUCUGUCUUCCCUAUUCAGACAUCUUGGAAGUGCUCUUUGAAGUGCCAGAAAUGUGCCUUUCAAUGAAAAUUAAAAUGCAUGGUUGUUUCUUCUUUAUAUCUGAUUCGCAGAACCUCAAAGACUUUAGCUCGCAUUUAAAAGCUGUUUUGCAUAAGUGGUCUACAUCUACAAGUUUGCCUCUGCUUGGUUAUGAAGAGCCCCUUCUGAAAGACUUCAUUGUUCAGCUUUUACAACAUCGGCAGCUUGCACUAAAUGACACUGGCAUUAAAGGGAGUUUUGCAGCAUAUAUUUUGAUUCAAGAUGACCUCAAACCAUGGGAUUGGUCAGAAGAGUUGCAACCUUCGGCUUCACACACUGAGGUGGUCAGUAGUACAGAAUUAAAGGACACAAAUAAUCUGCAUUCUGAAGUUUGUUCAGUAAUUCGUCCAGGGAAAGAAGAGCAUUCAAAACCUCUGUGUGUACCUUGUCUUCUGAUUUUGACAGCCCAGUAUCUUUAUUUCAUAAGAAUAGAUUUCUACAUAGCUGCAAAGAAGUGUCUUCAUCCUGAAGAGAUUGCAAGAUGUCCAUUUAAGUUAGAACAAAUUUCAUUAGCCACAUUGCUUUUGAAUCCAAAGCAAGGAUCCCGUACUGUUGAAACAGGGGCAUUUUGGGAUGGUCAUAUACUUGAAUUUUUGAUUGGAUACCAACUCACAACAGCAGUUUUUGUGCUACCCCAUGAGAAGUUCCACUUUCUGCGAAUGUUUAGUCAAUUGAGAGGAAGCUUUCAGGGUGUCAAAUCAAUUGUAGUGCACAGAAGUUGUCCAGAUCGCUGCUACUUGACGAAGCAUAACACAGAUGCAACUGAUCACUCUCCAGAAACUAAAAGCAACCAGCCAAAAUUCAAAUCGGACUUGAGCCUUUCUCUACAGUAUCCUUCUGAGACAUUGCUGCAAAAACUGACUGAAGAGAACCAGUGUCCUUUUCAUCUUUCCACCUCCCCAUCACUCCAUUACCUGGCAGGUUUGAAAGGAAGAGCUAUUGUGGAAUGUUUUCACAAUAAUGUAGCUGAGGUUGAAAAUGAAGAGUUAAGGCACCUAAUUUGGUCUUCAGUCAUAUUUUACAAAAGUUCUGAGCUUGAAGUUACUGCCUGCGUAAUGCUCUCGACCAAAGCAUUAUAUUUUGUGUUGGAUGACACCAUCGGUGAGGGCGCUGAACAAACUGGAUGUUGGAAAGAAAAGUCAUCUUCAAACUGUGAGCGGGAUGGUUUGCUGCUAUCCUUCUGUUUUGUCCUGAAAUUAAAUGAUUUGCAGUCCAUACACUUGGGCCUUUUCGAUCAGUAUUUUCGCAUCACUGGUCCAUCUGCUGAACAAACAAUUGCUUGCCUGACCAGGGACAGUUAUACAACACAUACGUUUGUUCAGCAGUUGAUGGGUGUAUUAUCUUUGUUGGAACGAACACCUUCACCAGAGCCAAUAGAGCUAGACUUCUAUACAGAAUUUGGAAAGAAAAAUACAGGUCAAAUGGAAAAUUAUGAAAUUGUUCACUCCAGUCGAGUGAAAUUUAUUUAUCCCAGUGAAGAGGAGGUUGGUGAUCUGACAUUUAUGAUUGCAGAAAAUGUUCAAGAACUAAAUCUCCAGACAUCCAACAUCCUCUUGUAUGUUUUGGCAUUUCAAGUUGAGUCUCUGGAGAAUUCUUUACACUCCUGCAAACCACCUUUGCAGCCCAAAACAUUAAUUUUGACAAGCUACAACAUGCUUCUAUUUGAAGAAGAUUAUGUCAGCUAUCCAUUACCAGAGUUUGCAAAAGAACCACCACAGAGAGACAAAUACCAAUUAACUGACACAAGGAGAAUUCGUGAUCUGGAUCGAGUGCUCAUGGGUUACCAGACCUAUCCACAGGCCAUCACAUUUGUGUUUGAUGAUGUACAGAAUCAAGAUUUCAUAGGUAAUAUGAUGCUCGACCAUUUUGAACAUCCACUUAACGCCUGUUCUGCUGAUAGAAUAAAUCACUGCGGCACCAACAAUGAAGUUCAGUGGUGCCUCUUUGUAGCCAGUCCUGAAAGUCGUGAAAGGCUGAUUGCAUUGCUUGCUCGACAGUGGGAGCUGCUUUGCAGCAGAGAACUACCAGUUGAGCUUACAGGCUAAUAUUGUUGCCGAGCACGGCCUGCAAAUUAUAAAAAUUGUACUCAUGGUUAUAUGUACAGCACUCUUGGGGAACUUGUAAAUAUCAUGGGAGUCAGACCAGUUGUUUCUUUGAUGUCUAGGGCUUUUAAAAGUUUAUUUUUUACAUGAACAUAUACUUAUACUGAAGCAUCCUGCUAUAUUAUGCAAUGUAAACUGUACAGAAAAGGUCAUUAUUGCAUGUUGCGCUUGUAUGUAUUGAAAUAUCAAAUAUAAUGUUUGUAUCUAAUGGACAGCUUUCUCUCGUAUGCUGCUAUAAUUUGAAAUAAAGUUGUUGGUCUUAGAUACUUUUUAAAAAAGAGGAACUUUACUGAAACUUACUGUUUUUUUAAAUAUUAUUACAAUAUUUUCUCUCCUGUAAUACUGUUUAACUUCAUCUGUCCACUCUGUACUCCAUCUGAACUGAUAAAUUAAAUCAAAGGCAUUCGGGUUGCUUUUAUUGCCUGCAAUGAACUGA